GUACUCGCUUCAGUAGCACAUAUACUAACAUUGAAAAGAUACAGAGAAGGUUAGCAUGGCCCCUGAGCAAGGAUGACACGUAAAUUCGGAAAGCGUUCCAUAUUUUU